AAUAUGCUGAAGGCUAGCUGUAUUGGGUGCAGAUGAUAAUAUGUAGGCUAAUAUGCUGAAGGCUAGCUGUAUUGGGUGCAGAUGAUAAUAUGUAGGGGUAAUAAUAUGCUGAAGGCUAGCUGUAUUGGGUACAGAUGAUAAUAUGUAGGGGUAAUAAUAUGUUGAAGGCUAGCUGUAUUGGGUACAGAUGAUAAUAUGUAGGGGUAAUAAUAUGCUGAAGGCUAGCUGUAUUGGGUACAGAUGAUAAUAUGUAGGGGUAAUAAUAUGCUGAAGGCUAGCUGUAUUGGGUACAGAUGAUAAUAUGUAGGCUAUAAUAAUAUGCUGAAGGCUAGCUGUAUUGGGUACAGAUGAUAAUAUGUAGGGGUAAUAAUAUGCUGAAGGCUAGCUGUAUUGGGUACAGAUGAUAAUAUGUAGGCUAAUAUGCUGAAGGCUAGCUGUAUUGGGUACAGAUGAUAAUAUGUAGGCUAAUAUGUUGAAGGCUAGCUGUAUUGGGUACAGAUGAUAAUAUGUAGGCUAAUAUGCUGAAGGCUAGCUGUAUUGGGUACAGAUGGUAAUAUGUAGGCUAAUAUGCUGAAGGCUAGCUGUAUUGGGUACAGAUGAUAAUAUGUAGGGGUAAUAAUAUGCUGAAGGCUAGCUGUAUUGGGUACAGAUGAUAAUAUGUAGGCUAUAAUAAUAUGUUGAAGGCUAGCUGUAUUGGGUACAGAUGAUAAUAUGUAGGGGUAAUAAUAUGCUGAAGGCUAGCUGUAUUGGGUACAGAUGAUAAUAUGUAGGCUAUAAUAAUAUGUUGAAGGCUAGCUGUAUUGGGUACAGAUGAUAAUAUGUAGGGGUAAUAAUAUGCUGAAGGCUAGCUGUAUUGGGUACAGAUGAUAAUAUGUAGGCUAUAAUAAUAUGCUGAAGGCUAGCUGUAUUGGGUACAGAUGAUAAUAUGUAGGGGUAAUAAUAUGUUGAAGGCUAGCUGUAUUGGGUACAGAUGAUAAUAUGUAGGGGUAAUAAUAUGUUGAAGGCUAGCUGUAUUGGGUACAGAUGAUAAUAUGUAGGGGUAAUAAUAUGCUGAAGGCUAGCUGUAUUGGGUACAGAUGAUAAUAUGUAUAAUAAUAUGCUGAAGGCUAGCUGUAUUGGGUGCAGAUGAUAAUAUGUAGGCUAAUAUGCUGAAGGCUAGCUGUAUUGGGUACAGAUGAUAAUAUGUAGGCUAUAAUAAUAUGUUGAAGGCUAGCUGUAUUGGGUACAGAUGAUAAUAUGUAGGGGUAAUAAUAUGCUGAAGGCUAGCUGUAUUGGGUACAGAUGAUAAUAUGGGUAAUAAUAUGCUGAAGGCUAGCUGUAUUGGGUACAGAUGAUAAUAUGUAGGGGUAAUAAUAUGUUGAAGGCUAGCUGUAUUGGGUACAGAUGAUAAUAUGUAGGGGUAAUAAUAUGCUGAAGGCUAGCUGUAUUGGGUACAGAUGAUAAUAUGUAGGGGUAAUAAUAUGCUGAAGGCUAGCUGUAUUGGGUACAGAUGAUAAUAUGUAGGGGUAAUAAUAUACUGAAGGCUAGCUGUAUUGGGUGCAGAUGAUAAUAUGUAGGCUAUAAUAAUAUGUUGAAGGCUAGCUGUAUUGGGUACAGAUGAUAAUAUGUAGGGGUAAUAAUAUGUUGAAGGCUAGCUGUAUUGGGUACAGAUGAUAAUAUGUAGGGGUAAUAAUAUGCUGAAGGCUAGCUGUAUUGGGUACAGAUGAUAAUAUGUAGGCUAUAAUAAUAUGCUGAAGGCUAGCUGUAUUGGGUACAGAUGAUAAUAUGUAGGCUAAUAUGUUGAAGGCUAGCUGUAUUGGGUACAGAUGAUAAUAUGUAGGGGUAAUAAUAUGUUGAAGGCUAGCUGUAUUGGGUACAGAUGAUAAUAUGUAGGCUAAUAUGUUGAAGGCUAGCUGUAUUGGGUACAGAUGAUAAUAUGUAGGGGUAAUAAUAUGCUGAAGGCUAGCUGUAUUGGGUACAGAUGAUAAUAUGUAUAAUAAUAUGCUGAAGGCUAGCUGUAUUGGGUACAGAUGAUAAUAUGUAGGGGUAAUAAUAUGUUGAAGGCUAGCUGUAUUGGGUACAGAUGAUAAUAUGUAGGGGUAAUAAUAUGCUGAAGGCUAGCUGUAUUGGGUACAGAUGAUAAUAUGUAGGGGUAAUAAUAUGCUGAAGGCUAGCUGUAUUGGGUGCAGAUGAUAAUAUGUAGGGGUAAUAAUAUGCUGAAGGCUAGCUGUAUUGGGUACAGAUGAUAAUAUGUAGGGCUAAUAUGUUGAAGGCUAGCUGUAUUGGGUACAGAUGAUAAUAUGUAGG
rnacentral:lncRNA from 1 species